UCUUGAUUGCAGCCCAAACCCCAGGGCAGCCUUACAUGGGGGCUUUUGGCUACAGCUUCCUGCAUCAGAAGGCCAAAAUGUGGGGUGUAGUGUUUGGGUGUCUGUGACCAGAGCUGUAAACGAGAUGCCUCUCCGAAUAACCUGUGGGAGAUGAAAACUGAAAGGCUCCGGAGUCCCCACGGCAGAGACCAGAAGACCUCUGAGCAAGGUGUGGCCAAAAGAUCUAAGAACCGGCAUUUCUGACUCUAAAGCCUGUCCUGCCCCAACCCUCUGGCUGACGACUUGCAUGGGUCCCAGAUGGUCCCCAGGAUCCAGGUGGGUACACGUGUGGGGGCCUCAAUAAUCUGUGGCUUCGCGGGGCGCUCUGCUUCCUCCUUGGCUGAGCCUGGGUUGCUGUGCCAAGACCACCCCCCAGUUGUGGAAUCAGAGCAGAAUACAAGCGGUUCCAUGCGUAUGUCCCCUGGGAAGGUCCAUGUCCAACAAGAG